rnacentral:lncRNA from 1 species
GAUCUCUGUUCAGGCUGCUUCUUGCUCUUGUCUCAGAAUAAGAAAGGAGUGCUGCUUUCCUGGGGUAUGCUAUUUGAGAAAGAAAGUAACCUAACACUAACUGCAGGCGGGGUCAGAGUGAUGUAACAGGAAGCUCUGAUGUUUCCCUUCUGCUGCUGAGCACAUACAAUGUGACAACACUUCCAAUCCACUCAGAACAACCCUCCCUCUCCAGCAGAGAGUAUCACCUCCUGAUUUAGGAUCAUCAGGCUCUGUUCACUGGACCUGACCCUGCCUGCAGGAUUACAUUGCAAAGCUUUCACUCUUCCCCACCUUGCCUGGGGGUAAAUCUCUUCUGCGGAAUCUCAGAAAAUCAAAUUCCAUCCUAAGAAUAUUUCACCAAGAAUUUCCUUAGAAGCUGUGCUGGGGUUCUACGAUGACACAUCAACCACUUGUGAUGCCACCUGUCAAAUCUUUGGAUGGCCCUACCUUCAGGUCAUGACCCCUGGAUUUAAGAAAUUCUUCAAGACAACAUCAAAUAUGAUCCGGGGGAAAAUGUGAUUUGAGUCUGGAGACAAUUGUGUAUCUAUUUUUUUAAGAAGAUCAACUAAUAAUAAAAACCCAGUAUAUCUGAUAGAAGAGAAACGUUAUUUGGAAGAUUACUACAAUUAAAAAGAAAAGCUGUCUACGUGAGUCAUUGGUAAGGGCAAGCAAUGACAUAGAUUCAAGUUGCUAGAAAUUGGUGUGCUUUUGUUGCAUGUGAUAAUAAAAAUAAUAAUUUAAUAUGUGGAAAAACUUUUUAUAAUUCUUACUUUACCAUUGGACCUAUAAUAAAAAUCAUAAC